CUGACCUUACUUGAGCAAGAUAUGUUCUAUAGGCUCUUCCCACUGUAUUCAUAAAUUCUAAGAAAAUAGAAAAUCAAAUCUGGUUAAUGAAUCAUGAUCAUCAGACU
rnacentral:snoRNA from 1 species